CCUACGGGCGGCAGCAGUGGGGGAUAUUGCACAAUGGGGGGAACCCUGAUGCAGCGACGCCGCGUGGGUGAAGGAGUGCUUCGGCAUGUAAAGCCCUAUCGGCAGGGAAGAAGCAUGACGGUACCUGACUAAGAAGCUCCGGCUAACUACGUGCCAGCAGCCGCGGUAAUACGUAGGGGGCGAGCGUUAUCCGGAUUCACUGGGUGUAAAGGGUGCGUAGGCGGCCAUGCAAGCCAGGGGUGAAAGCCCGGGGCCCAACCCGGGAACUGCCCUUGGAACUGCAUGGCUGGAGUGCGGGAGGGGCGGGCGGAAUUCCUGGUGUAGCGGUGGAAUGCGUAGAUAUCAGGAAGAACACCAGCGGCGAAGGCGGCCUGCUGGACCGCGACUGACGUUGAGGCUCGAAAGCAUGGGGAGCGAACAGGAUUAGAUACCCGUGUAGUC
rnacentral:rRNA from 1 species